GGGGAAGGAGGCCAGUGCUACAAGGGUUAUCUCCCAGCCUCAGAUGCUGGAUAAGUCGAAGGAAGCAGAAUCGCUUUUGGAUGACAUUCAGAAAGGCCGGAGUGAUUAUUUGGAAGAGAAAAGCCUGCCUAUUCUUUUCCAAGGUAAACAGUUCAUUUCAUCUGUU
ensembl:misc_RNA